rnacentral:rRNA from 1 species
UACGUAGGGCGCAAGCGUUGUCCGGAAUUAUUGGGCGUAAAGAGCUCGUAGGCGGCUUGUCACGUCGGGUGUGAAAGCCCGGGGCUUAACCCCGGGUCUGCAUUCGAUACGGGCAGGCUAGAGUGCGGUAGGGGAGAUCGGAAUUCCUGGUGUAGCGGUGAAAUGCGCAGAUAUCAGGAGGAACGCCGGUGGCGAAGGCGGAUCUCUGGGCCGUAACUGACGCUGAGGAGCGAAAGCGUGGGGAGCGAACAGG